rnacentral:rRNA from 1 species
AGAGUUUGAUCAUGGCUCAGGAUGAACGCUGGCGGCGUGCUUAACACAUGCAAGUCGAGCGAAGCACUUAAGAAAGAUUCUUCGGAUGAUUUCUUAAGUGACUGAGCGGCGGACGGGUGAGUAACGCGUGGGUAACCUGCCUCAUACAGGGGGAUAACAGUUAGAAAUGACUGCUAAUACCGCAUAAGCGCACAGUGCUGCAUGGCACAGUGUGAAAAACUCCGGUGGUAUGAGAUGGACCCGCGUUGGAUUAGGCAGUUGGCGGGGUAACGGCCCACCAAACCAACGAUCCAUAGCCGGCCUGAGAGGGUGAACGGCCACAUUGGGACUGAGACACGGCCCAAACUCCUACGGGAGGCAGCAGUGGGGAAUAUUGCACAAUGGGGGAAACCCUGAUGCAGCGACGCCGCGUGAGUGAAGAAGUAAUUCGUUAUGUAAAGCUCUAUCAGCAGGGAAGAAAAUGACGGUACCUGACUAAGAAGCCCCGGCUAACUACGUGCCAGCAGCCGCGGUAAUACGUAGGGGGCAAGCGUUAUCCGGAUUUACUGGGUGUAAAGGGAGCGUAGACGGCCGUGCAAGUCUGAUGUGAAAGGCUGGGGCUCAACCCCGGGACUGCAUUGGAAACUGUGUGGCUGGAGUGCCGGAGAGGUAAGCGGAAUUCCUAGUGUAGCGGUGAAAUGCGUAGAUAUUAGGAGGAACACCAGUGGCGAAGGCGGCUUACUGGACGGUAACUGACGUUGAGGCUCGAAAGCGUGGGGAGCAAACAGGAUUAGAUACCCUGGUAGUCCACGCCGUAAACGAUGAUUACUAGGUGUUGGGGGACUUAAGUCCUUCGGUGCCGCCGCAAACGCAGUAAGUAAUCCACCUGGGGAGUACGUUCGCAAGAAUGAAACUCAAAGGAAUUGACGGGGACUCGCACAAGCGGUGGAGCAUGUGGUUUAAUUCGAAGCAACGCGAAGAACCUUACCAAGUCUUGACAUCGAGAGGACAGAGUAUGUAAUGUACUUUCCCUUCGGGGCCUCAAAGACAGGUGGUGCAUGGUUGUCGUCAGCUCGUGUCGUGAGAUGUUGGGUUAAGUCCCGCAACGAGCGCAACCCCUAUCUUCAGUAGCCAGCAAUUCGGAUGGGCACUCUGGAGAGACUGCCGGGGAUAACCCGGAGGAAGGCGGGGAUGACGUCAAAUCAUCAUGCCCCUUAUGACUUGGGCUACACACGUGCUACAAUGGCGUAAACAAAGGGAAGCGAGGGAGUGAUCCGGAGCAAAUCCCAAAAAUAACGUCUCAGUUCGGAUUGUAGUCUGCAACUCGACUACAUGAAGCUGGAAUCGCUAGUAAUCGCGAAUCAGCAUGUCGCGGUGAAUACGUUCCCGGGUCUUGUACACACCGCCCGUCACACCAUGGGAGUCGAUAACGCCCGAAGUCAGUGACCCAACCGUAAGGAGGGAGCUGCCGAAGGCGGGAUUGGUAACUGGGGUGAAGUCGUAACAAGGUA